rnacentral:lncRNA from 1 species
CACCCAACUACUCUGGUACCAUUGCUUUGGCCCUGUUAGUGUCGCUUGUUGGAGGUUUGCUUUAUUUGAGAAGGAACAACUUGGAGUUCAUCUAUAACAAGACUGGUUGGGCCAUGGUGUCUCUGUGUAUAGUCUUUGCUAUGACUUCUGGCCAGAUGUGGAACCAUAUCCGUGGACCUCCAUAUGCUCAUAAGAACCCACACAAUGGACAAGUGGGUCUUCUCCUGUGGCCCAGGCUGGAGUUCAGUGGCGUGAUCACAGCCUACUUUUAACUUCAAAAUCCUAGGCUCAAGCCAUCCUCCCACCUCAGCCUCCUUAGUAGCUGGGACUACAGGUGCAUGCCACUGCACCCAACUAAUUUUUAAAAUUUUUUGUAGAGACAGGGUCUUGCUAUGUCAUCUAGGCUGGUCUUGGACUCCUAGCCUCAAGUGAUACUCCAGCACUGGCCUGCCAAAGUACCAGGAUUACAGAGGUGAGCCAACCAUGUGCAGCCAUCUUCAGCCUAUUUUAAAUGAACAAUUUUUUAAAAAUACACUGUAAAUAUAACUAGCAAUCAUUUAACUGUAACAACUAUUCAGUGAAUUGUAAUGUAUAUUUUAUUACUGGUAAUUAAUUAAUUCAUUAAUAAAGGCAUUCUCAUUUU